rnacentral:lncRNA from 1 species
CUGUUCUCCGAUGGAGUAAAAAUGAAAUAAAGUACCUUUUCUCCCGAAUGACAAUAUUAUGAGGGCUAAAAGUCUUGUCAAGAUGCUGUGUGCUCUUUGGUAGAAGAGAUGGUAUAUAAAUCAAGAGAACACGUCCCCUCAUUUUUUUUUUUUAGAUUUUAUUUUUUCCCUUUUCUCCCAAAGCCCCCUGGUACACAGUUGUGCAUUUUUAGUUGUGGGUCCUUCGAGUUGUGGCAAGUGGGAAGCCGCCUCAGCAUGGCUUGAUGAGCAGUGCCAUGUCCACGCCUAGGAUUCGAACUGGCGAAACCCUGGGCCGCCGAAGCAGAGUGUGUGAACUUAACCACUCCGCCACCGGGCCAGCCCCUGGCCCCUCAUUUUGAUGUGCAGGAAGCCGGGGUCCCCAGGUGCUGGCUGCCUUGACAAUAUCUCACCAUCUAGAAUGGACGUCACCCCCGCCCCCCAGUUGCACUUCAGUGGCACUUCUGGAAAAUUAUCUCAAGGAAAAUAUCACUUAGACUUGCAAAAAUGCGUGCACGAGGGUGUCCAGGGAACGCUGUGGAUCCCAGCCCCCAGCUCCCAGGCCCCACAAGCUCCUUUCGUGAAGAUGGACCUUCUCGUCGCUCCCACCGGCAUUCACUUCCAUCUUGCUUGCUGCCGUAUCCCUGGACCUAGAAGACUGCACAGCCACGGUCUAGUAAACUGAGGACUGGAGAAAUCACCCUGGACCUGAGCAAGAGGGCAGCCAGGAAGACGCUAUGCCAACAACGCCUGCCAACAUUUCAGGAAAAAUAAUUGAAAUAAUAAAUAAUUCUGAUUAGGCCGAUAAACCUGGAGGCUGAGGGCAGGACGGAUGCUGAUCUUCCUGACUGAAUCCCGCCAGUUACCUAGAACACGCUGUGUAGAACGUUCUCUUGGAUGUUUGCUGAUCAGCUAUGAUGCCAGGCAGUGAAAGGGCAUCGGGACAACAGUGUCUGUCCCGUGCUCUGUGAAACGGACACAGCACGACUUCACAGGGACACUUUGCAGAGCAGACUUCAGGAAACAAACAGAGCUUAAAAAUAAGCAUUUCCUAAAUAUGGAAAUGAGAAAACGGUGACAUCACUAGAGAAGACCCAAAGACUUUUUUUUUUUCCACCUUAAAUGUUGCCUACCUCUUUUGGGCCAAUAAAUAAAUCUAAGCUUCAGAAGUAAUUUUGAAAAGUUUC